rnacentral:rRNA from 1 species
GACGAACGCUGGCGGCGUGCUUAACACAUGCGAGUCGAACGGAAAGGCCUCUUUCGGGGGGUACUCGAGUGGCGAACGGGUGAGUAACACGUGAGUAACCUGCCCUUGACUUUGGGAUAACUUCAGGAAACUGGGGCUAAUACCGGAUAGGAGCUCCUGCUGCAUGGUGGGGGUUGGAAAGUUUCGGCGGUUGGGGAUGGACUCGCGGCUUAUCAGCUUGUUGGUGGGGUAGUGGCUUACCAAGGCUUUGACGGGUAGCCGGCCUGAGAGGGUGACCGGCCACAUUGGGACUGAGAUACGGCCCAGACUCCGACGGGAGGCAGCAGUGGGGAAGAUUGAACAAUGGGUGGAAGCCUGAUGCAGCAACGCCGUGUGCGGGAUGACGGCCUUCGGGUUGGAAACCGCUUUCGCUCAUGACGAAGCUUUGUGUGACGGUAGUGGGUAAAGAAGCACCGGCUAACUACGUG